GUAUUAUCACUUUUUAGUUUUUCCUUUUUAAUGAUAAUUGCUUUUGUAAGCUUUAAAUCUGCUCUGUUUUUUUACUUUCAUACUGUUAUGUGCCCUUCAUAUGCCUGUUGCUUCACUCUAAACCAAAAUCACAAGCUUCUCAAUACAAAACGAGCAUUUAACUUAAAUUCUUGACUGAAGAGUUUACAUAAAUUCUCAACCAUUCAUUCUGUUUACUCUAAUUUUGUAUUAAAAAUUUUGUUGUAGAGGGUAUUGAUGUUGCAGCUUCUCAUUCAUUGAUUACAAGUGGAGUUGCCAUUGGUUUAGGAUCUGUAGUAUUGAAGAGAUUGGUCUCUUGAACUCAAAGAAGUUUUUUCACUUGAAAGGGAAGGAGAAUUUGAUAAGAAUGCUCCUCUGGCAUGGAAAUUGAUCAACCUGCAUUGAUUCCGCAUAUAUCUGAAGCCAGCUCCUUAAAGUAUACUUAUGAGGUCCUUUUCCGGAGCUUACACAAGCUGCUUAUGGAUACUGCAACUUCUGAGUAUCUUUUCUGUGAUGAUUUCUUCAGGAAGAAUCUAUAUUUUAUGAAAUUUUCGCAGGUGGCAAUUUAAUUUCUGCUAGAACUUCUGUGUCAGCCAUCACAAUUUCAGAUUUUAGUAGUACUGGUAUUAUUGAGACUGGCUUAGGAUCAAUUUUGGCUUCUACAAUG